CUUUAAUAACUGAAUAAAUACUUUUCUUCUACAAAAAUAUAGAGAGACACUCUCGUUGAAUAUUGUUUUAGUAACGUAUGGGUAAGAUUUUCUAAACGAAGUGUGGCAACCCCAAUUACUUAAUAAAAAAUAAAUAUGUUAUAAAAUGAAAAUGGCGUCAUUUCACAUUUUCACCAAAUAAAACACGAAUUCACGAAUAAUAAAAUAAAUGUUUGCCACGGCCUGUUAAUAUUUAUGAAGACCUCUUCAUGGAUUGGAUUUAAGCAACCUGCUGUGUAAUAUCCUCGCCAUUCUUGAUGUUGAGAAGAUCUAUAAGUCUUUUGCGUUUCAUCUGAGUGUUGUGGUUUUUCAUUAUGUUAAAAAUAAGACUUUGUUAGUUCAAGUGUCUCUAUAACUAUGAAGAAGAACAAAAGAAAAUGCUUUGAGUGUGGUUCUUCGCCUGCCGAUGAUCCAGAGAAGACCCUACAGAGAUUACAGAAAUUUGAUUCUACAAAUUUAGUCUCCGGUAGCUUAAUCUGGGGCAACAUAAGGUUAAUUAUGAAAUGGUAAUGAAAAUAAACAUCUGAGAAAAGCAAAUUCCAUGAACUAAUUUGAAAGUAUCUGUUACCAGUUCAAUAUUAAACCACAGGUAUAUGUACUAAAGGCAGUAAUGUCCAGAUAAUCAAUGAUUAGACUAUUGGACUUUUAGAAUAAAUUUUACAUUGAACUAUGAAUGGUUUGUCAUCUACAUUUUUAAAAAAGACGAGAUGUUUUGCCUGUAAGAACAAGAGAGAGAGAGAAUAAGAAGCAAUCCUGCUUCUUCACAUGAAUUUUACCCGCAUGACGACGGUUUUUAAUAUAAAAAAUAUUUACACAAUGUCUCAAAAAGCAAUCAAAGCUUUCAAAAAUAAACAAUGUUCGCAGAAGUUCAGUACCAACAAACUCACAAAAAAUGAGUUCAAAAUUUAGCAUUACUUGCAAGCCAGACUAAGAAAUUUCAAGAAGAUAAUUUAAAAGAAGACAAUAGAAUAAAAUAAUAUUAACACACAAUGCUUAGCAAAUAUAGCAUUAACAGAUGGAAACCAGGCAAUAGGUGUAGCAAAAUAGAAGAUGAAGGUCUAGCUGUGCCAGUCAGUGCUGAGCCACACAGUUGCUGCUGGCAUGUUUGCAAAAUAUCACAAGGUGUAGCAAAAUAGAAGAUGAAGGUCUAGCUGUGCCAGUCAGUGCUGAGCCACACAGUUGCUGCUGGCAUGUUUGCAAAAUAGCACAAGGUGUAGCAAAAUAGAAGAUGAAGGUCUAGCUGUGCCAGUCAGUGCUGAGCCACACAGUACAGUUGCUGCUGGCAUGUUUGCAAAAUAGCACAAGGUGUAGCAAAAUAGAAGAUGAAGGUCUAGCUGUGCCAGUCAGUGCUGAGCCACACAGUUGCUGCUGGCAUGUUUGCAAAAUAGCACAAGGUGCUGUAAAAUGAAGAUAUAUUGUUAAAUAUCAUGAGAUAGAAAUAAAAGAUGAAGAUCUAGCUGUACCCGUCCCGAGCCACACUACUGCAGCCACGUUGCUGCUGGCAUUUUUGCAAAAUAGCACAAGGUCACAACAAUUGAUGUAACAAUUAUAAUCAAUGGACCAGGCACCUGCACCAUGAUUCUUUGGAAUACUAAAAUUCGUCUCUUUAUGUCUGUACUUCUCAUAAUGAAAAAUGUCACAUUUUUAUGAAAGAAAUAAUGGAAUCAAAUAAUAAAUAAAACAAGCAUAUGCUGGAAGUCCUCAGAAACAGCUCCGACUUUGAUGAUUUUUUUUUUAAGUCUAUUUAAAAACAGAAAAUUUUAAUUAGUUUUUAUGUUAUUUAAAAUCAGAAAUGUUUUGGUGGACGAAAUUAUUUAAAUUGUUAAAAAAUAUCUAUGCUAUUUAUACAUAUUUUUUUUUAAAUACAACCGACUUCAAAAAUACAAACUUAUACAGAAAACUAAUAAACGAAAGAAAAUAUUAUAAUAUUUUCUAUCUAUUGAUCACUUUGAAGGCGGUGCCAAUGGUCCAAUUAAUGGGCCGACAAUUAGUUAUCUAAUGUUUUCCUAGCUAUAGGGUUCAAAUUGCUUUUUCAUAUCUUUAAAAGACUAUCUUCAGAAUGAACCCUUUAUAAUAAAAAAGUAUUAUCAAAAUCGGACCACUCAAUAAAAAGUUAUACUUGGUUGUAUACUAAAAUUAAUGGUUAAACAAUCAAUCAUCCCCUGUUUUUGUAAUGUAAAACCAAGCAUAACUGUUAACAUGAGUAGUCCGAUUUUGAUAAUUCUUUUGAUUGAUCAUUCUUGAUUGUUUUAGUUUAAAACCAAGCAUGUCUUCGAAUUCCGAUUUGAAUAACUUUGUUUUAAAUAGAAAGGGUAUAUUCCGACAAUGGUCCCAAAUCAUUAUAAAUUUUAAUUAUUCCCAUUAAUUGUAUUGUAAAAAUAUGCGUAACUUAUUACGAAGUGGUCCGAUUUCGUAAAUUCUUUAUAGAUUGUAAAGGUAUUUUGAUUGUAAAGCUCCUAUAUAAAUUUUAAAAAACAAUUCCAAUCCUAAAUGUGCGAUUGAUUGUUUUCUCAUUAAUUUUAAUAUAAAACCAAGCAUAACUUUUUAUUGGGUGGUUCGAUUUUGAUUAUUCUUUUUUUGAUAGAAAGGGUAUAUUCCUAAAAGUCUCAUAAAAUGUUGGAAAACAAUUUCAAACCUAAUAGUAGGAAAAUAGAAGAUGAUUAAUUGUUUUCCCAUUUAUUGUAAUGUAACUAUGCGUAACUUUUUACUGAGUGGACCGAUUUUGAAAAUUCUUUACUUUUUGUAAAGGGUUUAUUUCGAAGUAGGUCCCAUAUAAAUUUCGGAAAACAAUUCGAAUCCUUAAGGUGGAAAAAAACGGUACGAUUGAUUGCCUACCCAUUAAUUGUACAAUUGGCACCGGCUUCAGUAAUCAGUAGAUAGAAAAUAUUAUAAUGUUUUCUUCAGCUUAUUAGUUUACUGCAUAACUUUGUGUUUUUGAAGUCGGUAGUGUUUGUUUUUUUAAUAAUUUAUUAUAUAAAUAGCAUAACUAUUGUUAAAUAGUAUAAAUCGUUCCAUCAUCACUCCAAAAGGUUUCUGAUUUCAAAUGAUAUGAAGAAACAAACUGAACAAAAAUAAUCAUCAAAAUCAGAACUGUUUCUGAGGAGGUAGAGGGUAAAUGCUCUAUUGAUUCGCCUAAAAGUAAUAUUAUGUUAUCGCAUUAGGUUGUAAAGUUUGGCUAAUGAAAGUAGAGACUGAAAUUGCCCGCCAAAUUUAAAAAUCAUAUAAACAAAGUAAAAAAACAUGCGUUUUCAUAAUUUACUUAAAUUAGUUUUUAUUUGUGAAUACAUUAUUACCUAUACUAUAAGUGUUAAACUCAGUUAUUCCAAUAUUUGCACUAUAAUUUUGAGAAUUUACUCCGAUUUUUUAAAAUUUGGCGGGUGAUUUCAGUUUCUACUUUCAUUAGCCAAAUUCUAAUAAUUUUAUUGUUUAUGAAAUUUAUACUAAUUAGAAAGAGGAAGAAUUUAAUUAUUUGUUUGUUUGCAUUGAAUAGGCUCUGAAACUACUUUGCUGAUUUAAAAAAUUCUUACAGCAUUAUAAUCAUGGAUUAGGCCAUAAUUGUUAUCUCUGUAUUCCCACGGGAACGAGAACUACGCUGGUGAAACUGCGUGACGUUUGCAUAGUUUAUCAUAUGUACAAAUAUCCCGACAAUCUAUAUUUUUAUGUAUGAAUUGGUUAAGUUAUAAUUGACUUGAUUUUCCCAAAUAUAUCAGUGAAGUCACCCAAUUGAUGCAUAGAUAUAUUUUUAUUUUGGUUUUCAUUUUACUUUAAAGAUAAAAUUUAGUUUUAGAAGCAAAAUGAAUAUAUUUAGAUUACAUUUUAGGUGCUGAUGUUUACUUAGUUAUUGUUUAAGUGCAUAAGAUUUUUUAUUUGAUAAUAAAGACAUUUCAACUUGAAACUGUUAUUCUUUCUAUUGUUUAAUUUAUUAUAUACAAUUACUUGUUACUAAAAUAUUGUGCUAUUAUAUUGUUUUUAAUAUUUUCACAGUUCAGCUUUUGGGGACGGAGUGGUUUUAAAAUAAAUAUUUUUAAAAAUCUGUUUAAAUUAAUUAAUUAAUCGACAGAGUUUAUAAAUAUCUGUUUAAAUUAAUUAAUUAAUCGAAAUGGUUUUUAAAAAUAUUUAUUUUAAAGCUAUUCCGUCUACAAAAGCUGAACAGUGAAAAUUUAAAAACAAUAUAUUAGCUUUGAAUUUCCCGCGUUGGCAAAUUGUUUCAAUGGGGGCAUUCCACAGAUGGCGGUAAUUUUAGUGCCACUUUUUUUGUAUGAGGUUGGUAUUCUUCUCCUGAGUAAAUAUGUUCCUUGAUCAAAGAUGUCCUCGAAGGAAUACAUCUCAAUAAAUACUUAAACUAUUGUAAAUGUGAAAAAAAAACUAUUGUAAAUAUUUGGUCCUAAAUAAUAAUUAUAUACCUAUUUUAUUUUAUUGUCUGAGUGUAAACAUAAUUUUCUUUAUUUAGGUAAUAAUUCUUGCACGCCGUCUCUCAUUUGAUACAUAUUUUUUAAUGUUACUCAAUUUUGUCCCAACAAUAAAGUCAAAUUAUACGAAUUAACUUAUAAUAUUAUCUACGUAUGGAUGGCAAACCUACAUAACUAACAAAUUAUUUUUCAACAUAGAAAAGAAUGAAUAAAAUGUAUCAGCUGGAGGAGGCCUAUACCCAGUGAGGGAUUCUUAACAUAAUUAUUAAGUACUAUACUAACAUACGUAACAAUUAUAACCUUCUAACACUUAUUUAAGAACAAACAAUUGUAAAAAAAAAAAAUGUAUACGCAAUUUUGUUAAAUAUUAAUAAACUAACACACUAACACAAAUAGUAUAGGAUAAAUAAACUUAAAAUAACUAUGUAAUUUAUUGUUAAGAAGUAAUAAAGGCUUUGAUUGAUUGAUUGAU